UUGGAGGGCAAGUCUGGUGCCAGCAGCCGCGGUAAUUCCAGCUCCAAUAGCGUAUAUUAAAGUUGUUGCAGUUAAAAAGCUCGUAGUUGAAUUUCGGGAUCAAUGGAUCGGUCAUGCCGUUGGUACGUACUGGUUUUAUUGAUUCUCACCUUCUAAAGAACCAUGAUGGCAUUAAUUUGUUGUUGUGGGGAAUUAGGACUGUUACCUUGAAAAAAUUAGAGUGUUUAAAGCAGGCUUACGCUUGAAUACAUUAGCAUGGAAUAACGAAAUAGGACAUCGCAUUCUAUUUUGUUGGUUUCUAGGAUCGAUGUAAUGAUUAAUAGGGAUAGUUGGGGGCAUUAGUAUUCAAUUGUCAGAGGUGAAAUUCUUGGAUUUAUUGAAGACUAACUACUGCGAAAGCAUUUGCCAAGGAUGUUUUCAUUAAUCAAGAACGAAAGUUAGGGGAUCGAAGACGAUCAGAUACCGUCGUAGUCUUAACCAUAAACUAUGCCGACUAGGGAUCGGAUGAUGUUAAUUUUUUAAUGACUCAUUCGGCACCUUACGGGAAAC
rnacentral:rRNA from 1 species